UACGUAGGGUGCAAGCGUUUAAUCGGAAUUACUGGGCGUAAAGCGUGCGCAGGCGGUUGUGCAAGACAGAUGUGAAAUCCCCGGGCUUAACCUGGGAAUUGCAUUUGUGACUGCACGGCUAGAGUGUGUCAGAGGGGGGUAGAAUUCCACGUGUAGCAGUGAAAUGCGUAGAUAUGUGGAGGAAUACCGAUGGCGAAGGCAGCCCCCUGGGAUAACACUGACGCUCAUGCACGAAAAGCGUGGGGAGCAAACAGG
rnacentral:rRNA from 1 species